rnacentral:rRNA from 1 species
AUUGAACGCUGGCGGCAGGCCUAACACAUGCAAGUCGAGCGGUUGAGGUAGCUUGCUACCGAUACAGCGGCGGACGGGUGAGUAAUACAUGGGAAUCUGCCUGGUAGUGGGGGACAACGUUUCGAAAGGAACGCUAAUACCGCAUACGCCCUACGGGGGAAAGGGGGGGAUCGCAAGACCUCUCGCUAUCAGAUGAGCCCAUGUCAGAUUAGCUAGUUGGUGGGGUAAAGGCCUACCAAGGCAUCGAUCAGUAGCUGGUCUGAGAGGACGACCAGCCACACUGGGACUGAGACACGGCCCAGACUCCUACGGGAGGCAGCAGUGGGGAAUAUUGCACAAUGGGCGCAAGCCUGAUGCAGCGACGCCGCGUGAGGGAUGACGGCCUUCGGGUUGUAAACCUCUUUCAGUAGGGACGAAGCGCAAGUGACGGUACCUAUAGAAGAAGCACCGGCCAACUACGUGC